AUUGAACGCUGGCGGCAGGCCUUACACAUGCAAGUCGAGCGGCAGCAGGGGUGCUUGCACCGGAUUGAGAGGGGGACGCGUGUGAGUUGUCCAUCGAAACGUGUGGUGGAGGGGGGUAUAGCCCGGCGAAAGGCGGUUUAAUAGCACACGCGAUGUGCGGAAGAGAGCGGGGUACCUGCGGCCCACGCUCUCAGAUGUUGCGAGGUCGGAUUAGCUAGUUGGUGGGGUAAAGGCCUACCAAGGCGACGAUCCGUAGCUGGUCUGAGAGGACGAUCAGCCACACUGGGACUGAGACACGGCCCAGACUCCUACGGGAGGCAGCAGUGGGGAAUUUUGGACAAUGGGCGAAAGCCUGAUCCAGCCAUGCCGCGUGUGUGAAGAAGGUCUUCGGGUUGUAAAGCACUUUUGUCUGGAAAGAAGUCCAUGGAGCUAAUACCGUCGUGGGAUGACGGUACCGGCAGAAUAAGCACCGGCUAACUACGUG
rnacentral:rRNA from 1 species